rnacentral:rRNA from 1 species
UACGUAGGGUGCGAGCGUUGCCCGGAAUUACUGGGCGUAAAGCGUGCGCAGGCGGUUCUAUAAGACAGAUGUGAAAUCCCCGGGCUCAACCUGGGAACUGCAUUUGUGACUGUAGAGCUGGAGUACGGUAGAGGGGGAUGGAAUUCCGCGUGUAGCAGUGAAAUGCGUAGAUAUGCGGAGGAACACCGAUGGCGAAGGCAAUCCCCUGGACCUGUACUGACGCUCAUGCACGAAAGCGUGGGGAGCAAACAGG